rnacentral:rRNA from 1 species
UACGUAGGAUGCAAGCGUUGUCCGGAAUUAUUGGGCGUAAAGAGCGCGCAGGCGGUCUGACAAGUCAGAUGUGAAAGAAGCCGGCUUAACCGGCAAGGGUCAUUUGAAACUGACAGACUAGAGUGCACAAGAGGAUAGUGGAAUUCCCGGUGUAGUGGUGAAAUGCGCAGAUAUCGGGAGGAACACCUAUGGCGAAGGCAGCUCGCUGGGACGUUACUGACGCUGAGACGCGAAAGCGUGGGGAGCGAACAGG